UACGGGGGGGGCAAGCGUUGUUCGGAAUUACUGGGCGUAAAGGGCUCGUAGGCGGCCAACUAAGUCAGACGUGAAAUCCCCAGGCUCAACCUGGGAACUGCGUCUGAUACUGGAUGGCUUGAAUUCGGGAGAGGGAUGCAGAAUUCCAGGUGUAGCGGUGAAAUGCGUAGAUAUCUGGAGGAAUACCGGGGGCGAAGGCGGCAUCCUGGACCGACAUCGACGCUGAUGAGCGAAAGCUAGGGGAGCAAACGGG
rnacentral:rRNA from 1 species